rnacentral:rRNA from 1 species
GACGAACCGAGCGAACGUUGUUCGGAAUCACUGGGCUUAAAGGGCGCGUAGGCGGGUUCGCAAGUCUGUGGUGAAAUCCUCCGGCUCAACCGGAGAACUGCCUCGGAUACUGCGGGUCUCGAGGGUGAUAGGGGUAUGCGGAACUAUCGGUGGAGCGGUGAAAUGCGUUGAUAUCGAUAGGAACUCCGGUGGCGAAGGCGGCAUCCUGGACCGGCAUUGACGCUGAGGC